GUGCCAGCCGCCGCGGUAAGACGUAGGAGGCGAGCGUUGUCCGGAUUUACUGGGCGUAAAGGGCGUGUAGGCGGCACGGUAAGUUGGCUGUGAAAGCCCCCGGCUUAACUGGGGAGGGUCAGUCAAAACUGCCGCGCUCGAGGCCGGUAGGGGGAGACAGAAUUCCCGGUGUAGUGGUGAAAUGCGUAGAUAUCGGGAGGAAUACCGAUGGCGAAAGCGGUCUCCUGGGCCGGUCCUGACGCUGAGGCGCGAAAGCACGGGGAGCGAACCGGAUUAGAUACCCCCGUAGUCC
rnacentral:rRNA from 1 species